UUCUCCCUGCCUCUCUUUUUCUCCCCGCCUUCCUCUGCAUACCCGUUCCUCUCUUAUGGUGUGUUUGUGUAGUACUGUGUCUAGUGUUAGGCUGUUAGUUCUCUGCAUUUAUCCCUUGUGCUAGAGGUGGUGGCUGAUGUCCCAUGUCCUUGUCUAAUUUAAUCUCACUCAUUUAUCAUUGCUAAUUGGGUCUAAACUUGAUGUACUCUCUCUGAUCCAAAAUAAGUGUCGGCGACUUAGUACAAACUUUGUACUAGAUUAGUACAAAAUCUCCGACAUUUAUUAUGGAUCCGAGGGAUUACUAUACUUAGUGGCAAGCUAGCUCAGUGGUGGCACAUUGUAUGUUGUUUGGAAGUUCUGCAAUCUGAAUGUAUCAAUUUCAUUUUGGUGUUAAAUUGUUCGUCCUUCUGGUUUGUGCACCAGCAUGCUCUACUACACACCGGCAGUUAGUUUUGGGUGCUAGAUGUAGAGAUGAAGUUCCUGGAAUCAUUUAAGGCCUUCCUUGUAUAGUUUUCUUACAUCUUGAUUAAUUCAUUUUGUGCCAUGAAGUAUCUGUAAUCCAAUUCCAGUUGUGUGUUGCAAAAUGACCUUAGUUAUCUUAGGGGAUAAUCUUUAUUUUUGUUCUUUCGUCCUGUUACAAAUUCAUACGUUUAGAAAUUGUUUGAGUCAUUGGAAUAUUGUAAUUACCUCUAAUGGGUUGUAGUAUUUGUUUUAAUCAACAUGCAUCUUUACCGAAUACUAAUCUUCUUUAUUUGUUUUACCCAUAUUGCAGUUGAUGGACAAGGCAUGGACACACAAGUAUGCCAGAAUUUUUCCUUGAUGUGAUGCAAAGUAUCCUACUUGUGGAGUUGACAGUCGAGCUAGGCAGCAUGACCGGCUGUGCUCGUUGGAUACUCAUGUAUAUGAGUAGCAAAGUCUGACAAAGAUCUCAUGUGUGAUGCAAGAUUGGGGUCCGCGGAUGCCCUCUGCAUAUGUUGUGGUCAAAUUGAGGUGACAACCGGGAAUGACAUCUCCAUCUUGUGAGUAGACGCCAUUGUUUUUCUUUGGGUGAAAAAUCUACAAUAGAGCUGACCAUCACCUUUGCUCUUCUUGUUGGAGGAUAACAAGGAGGAUGAGAAGCUUUCUAGCACCUUGGUUAGCUCAAGUGAUGCUAUGGUUGCAAGCAACGAUCAACGAAGGUUUCAGGUUCCGAAGCCUGUCGUGUUGUAUAUGUAACGUUCCGGGAUGGGAUAGUAUGGUAUUGCAGAAAACUUGCGCGCUAGCUGCUGAGCAUCAGUUUUGCCUUGACCACGUUUAUUUGAGGAAGUUCUGGUCGGUUGUUUGUUUGUGUGUCACACAUGGGUUUCAGCGGUGGUCUUUGUUGAAUUAUAUGUUUGAUGUGUAGGUUUUUAUUUAUGUCCAAAAAGAGGUGAGGUAUCGGUGAGAUGUGACUGGUUGGCUCUGUGCCACGAUGGUGGCAGAUUUUUCUGGUUGUCGGAUUUGGCUAGAGAUAAGCGGGAUUACUGGGAUGUCUAGGGAGUAGUGCGUACUUGCCAUUGAGAACACGGAGCGUUGAUUCGAGUGAAUCACAUAGUAAUUUUUUUAUUUUAGAAAUGCUUCUUGUUUCACUCUACUAUCAUGUGUAAAUCUAAUUUUGUCAGUUAGAUGCUUAAAUUCAAUAAUAUUCCCUGUCUCCUUGUGUUCUUCUUCUUCUUUUGGAGUCUUGACUGGUUGAUCAUAGCAUGUUCCUGCAUAUUUUUUAGAUUUUUUAAUCUUGAGAAAAUUUUUGGAGAGGGAUUGAGUAGGACCGUGUUAGUGUUAAUCCUCUUUCUUUUAUGUGCAUGGAAAUAUGUGUAUUCUUCAUGUCAGGUUUUGGAUGAAUAUUCCUGAAGAGUAUUUUUCUUGAUAUUUAUUUGAGUGUUUUUAUCUUCACAUUUUCUUAUUAUCCUGAUUGCAGGCUGACAAGAUUUGUCUUGAUUCCAUGGAUGUUCAAACACUUAGGAAGACAAUUUGUCAAGAAGUAUUAUGUUUUCCUAGCCUCAGAGGCUAUUAUCAAGCCUUCAACACCAAGUUUCUAUGGGCCAUCAACUUCCACCUCAAGCUCGUAGACAUUGGCAUCAAAAGGUUCCUCGAGCUGUGUUUGGAAUCAUGUUUAAUGUUUAGAACUAGCCAUGCUUGUACAUGUAAGGUCAAGAAUCAUAUGUAUGCCAUCGCCAAAAGUUGGAGGCAAUGGCAUGUACAGGAUACUUGGGCAUAGAUGUACUGCAACAGUAGUAGGAGAGAGACGUCGGCAGGGCAGUAUCGUGAGCAAGCAAAUUCAUGAGUGGCUCUAGGAUACCAAGGAUCAUAUUGUGGGAUCAACUGUUGGUGUUUAGAAGCUCGAUGAAUUGACCUUUGAAUUAACUGCGAAGCAAAGCCAAAGGACACCUCCAUGACGUUGCUCCAGUGCUCAUCGACAUCGGCACCCAAUGGCAAUGUUACUUCUUUUAGCCUACUGGGUGAUCUGCCACUUCUAAUAUGUCAUCAACCGUGGCGGAGGGGGCAUCGUCAACAACGUGCAGACACUGGUCCGACGACGCAGGAAAGCUGAUGGAUGGAGUUGAGCUGGCGAGCUUCUUCUUCGACCAAUGUGGAGCUUGUUUUUCUUGUUUGAUGUUGGCAAGUCUAGACGAUUUGUGUCUAUCAAGUGCCUUUGCCUUUGCCGUAGCGUAGUAUCGCACCUUAUUUAUAUUAAGCUGUUGCUUGCUCUCUGUGUGCCCCAACAAGUGUAGUAAUGGUAGUAGUAUUAGCACUCUCCGCAGCAAUUUUCAUCACAGUCUUUGCUUAGCUCUAGCUAUUGUUUUAUAAUUCAUGCAGUUUUGUAACUAUGUUUCAAAUGUGUGAUCAAUGAAACUCUGUAUUUGGGUUGUGCAUUUUUGUAUUGCCCAGUCGGACAAGAACGUGUAAAGCUAAAUUAAUACUUGUAUAUAUCACUUUUGACAAAACAAUUCAUCCA